GGCGGUAGGCCUAACACAUGCAAGUCGAACGAGUGGCGGACGGGUGAGGAAUGCAUCGGAAUCUACUCUUUCGUGGGGGAUAACGUAGGGAAACUUACGCUAAUACCGCAUACGAAUGAAUGAGCCGAUGCCCGAUUAGCUAGUUGGCGGGGUAAGAGCCCACCAAGGCGACGAUCGGUAGCUGGUCUGAGAGGAUGAUCAGCCACACUGGAACUGAGACACGGUCCAGACUCCUACGGGAGGCAGCAGUGGGGAAUAUUGGACAAUGGGCGCAAGCCUGAUCCAGCCAUACCGCGUGGGUGAAGAAGGCCUUCGGGUUGUAAAGCCCUUUUGUUGGGAAAGCGGUACCCAAAGAAUAAGCACCGGCUAACUUCGUGCCAGCAGCCGCGGUAAUACGAAGGGUGCAAGCGUUACUCGGAAUUACUGGGCGUAAAGCGUGCGUAGGUGGUUGUUUAAGUCUGUCGUGAAAGCCCUGGGCUCAACCUGGGAAUUGCGAUGGAAACUGGGCAACUAGAGUGUGGCAGAGGAUAGUGGAAUUCCUGGUGUAGCAGUGAAAUGCGUAGAGAUC
rnacentral:rRNA from 1 species